rnacentral:rRNA from 1 species
UACGGAGGGAGCAAGCGUUACUCGGAAUUAUUGGGCGUAAAGGGCGCGUAGGCGAUUUGAAAAGUCUUGUGUGAAAGCCCCGAGCUUAACUCGGGAAGUGCACAAGAAACUGUUGAAUUUGAGUUCCGGAGAGGAAGGCAGAAUUCCCGGUGUAGCGGUGAAAUGCGUAGAUAUCGGAAGGAAUACCAGUGGCGAAGGCGGCCUUCUGGACGGAUACUGACGCUGAUGCGCGAAAGCUAGGGGAGCAAACAGG